AGCUGAAAUGGAAUUUCCCUUCAACCGUACAAUAUUUCAGGGCUUAUAUUUCAGGAAUCGGUGUUCGCCCAACGUAGCAGUUGCAGAAAAAGGACAACAACAAGUGGCACUAUUCAUGUAUUCCUCCAAAGUGCUCAUGCCAAUCAUGCCAUAGCUGAACUUUCCUGAAAGACUGAGUCAAUGAAAACUCUAAGACUUCAACAUAUGUGCAGCAUUUCAACCGAGAGUCAACACCCUCCAUUGUAGUGUUCGGCAGGCUUUUCAAUUGGAGUUUGGGCUGAUUUCAAUCGUAAUAAUAAUAAUAAUAAUAUUCAGUUCUUGUAUAGCGCAUGAUAUGUUAUGAAAUAACACCUCUAUGCGCUUCCAAAGAGCUUUGGAAAUGA